GUCAAGCCAUGGAAGCCGGGAGUGCCUGAAGUCCGUCACCGCAAGGAGCGGCCUAGGGCAAGAUCGGUAACUAGGGCUAAGUCGUAACAAGGUAGCCGUACCGGAAGGUGCGGCUGGAACACCUCCUUU
rfam:Arenibacter sp. C-21 DNA, contig: C21_contig0067.